rnacentral:rRNA from 1 species
UACGGGGGGGCAAGCGUUGUUCGGAAUUACUGGGCGUAAAGGGCUCGUAGGUGGCCAACUAAGUCAGACGUGAAAUCCCUCGGCUUAACCGGGGAACUGCGUCUGAUACUGGAUGGCUUGAGUUUGGGAGAGGGACGCGGAAUUCCAGGUGUAGCGGUGAAAUGCGUAGAUAUCUGGAGGAACACCGGUGGCGAAGGCGGCGUCCUGGACCAACACUGGCACUGAUGAGCGAAAGCCAGGGGAGCAAACGGG